GCAGAACGCGAAGAACCUUACCAAGGCUUGACAUACACCAGAACACCCUAGAAAUAGGGGACUCUUUGGACACUGGUGAACAGGUGGUGCAUGGUUGUCGUCAGCUCGUGUCGUGAGAUGUUGGGUUAAGUCCCGCAACGAGCGCAACCCUCGUUCUAUGUUGCCAGCACGUAAUGGUGGGAACUCAUGGGAUACUGCCGGGGUCAACUCGGAGGAAGGUGGGGAUGACGUCAAAUCAUCAUGCCCCUUAUGUCUUGGGCUUCACGCAUGCUACAAUGGCCGGUACAAAGGGCUGCAAUACCGUGAGGUGGAGCGAAUCCCAAAAAGCCGGUCCCAGUUCGGAUUGAGGUCUGCAACUCGACCUCAUGAAGUCGGAGUCGCUAGUAAUCGCAGAUCAGCAACGCUGCGGUGAAUACGUUCCCGGGUCUUGUACACACCG
rnacentral:rRNA from 1 species